rnacentral:rRNA from 1 species
CCUACGGGGGGCUGCAGUGAGGAAUAUUGGUCAAUGGACGAGAGUCUGAACCAGCCAAGUAGCGUGAAGGAUGACUGCCCUAUGGGUUGUAAACUUCUUUUAUAUGGGAAUAAAAUGUUCCACGUGUGGGAUUUUGUAUGUACCAUAUGAAUAAGGAUCGGCUAACUCCGUGCCAGCAGCCGCGGUAAUACGGAGGAUCCAAGCGUUAUCCGGAUUUAUUGGGUUUAAAGGGAGCGUAGGUGGAUUGUUAAGUCAGUUGUGAAAGUUUGCGGCUCAACCGUAAAAUUGCAGUUGAAACUGGCAGUCUUGAGUACAGUAGAGGUGGGCGGAAUUCGUGGUGUAGCGGUGAAAUGCUUAGAUAUCACGAAGAACUCCGAUUGCGAAGGCAGUUCACUGGACUGCAACUGACACUGAGGCUCGAAAGUGUGGGUAUCAAACAGGAUUAGAUACCCUUGUAGUC